rnacentral:piRNA from 1 species
UGAGAUCCUAAGGACCCCCCCGCCC